rnacentral:rRNA from 1 species
UGCAAGUCGAGCGAACGGACGAGAAGCUUGCUUCUCUGAUGUUAGCGGCGGACGGGUGAGUAACACGUGGAUAACCUACCUAUAAGACUGGGAUAACUUCGGGAAACCGGAGCUAAUACCGGAUGAUAUUUUGAACCGCAUGGUUCAAAAGUGAAAGACGGUCUUGCUGUCACUUAUAGAUGGAUCCGCGCUGCAUUAGCUAGUUGGUAAGGUAACGGCUUACCAAGGCAACGAUGCAUAGCCGACCUGAGAGGGUGAUCGGCCACACUGGAACUGAGACACGGUCCAGACUCCUACGGGAGGCAGCAGUAGGGAAUCUUCCGCAAUGGGCGAAAGCCUGACGGAGCAACGCCGCGUGAGUGAUGAAGGUCUUCGGAUCGUAAAACUCUGUUAUUAGGGAAGAACAUAUGUGUAAGUAACUGUGCACAUCUUGACGGUACCUAAUCAGAAAGCCACGGCUAACUACGUGCCAGCAGCCGCGGUAAUACGUAGGUGGCAAGCGUUAUCCGGAAUUAUUGGGCGUAAAGCGCGCGUAGGC